ACUACGGGAGGCAGCAGUGGGGGAUAUUGCACAAUGGGGGAAACCCUGAUGCAGCGACGCCGCGUGAGCGAUGAAGUAUUUCGGUAUGUAAAGCUCUAUCAGCAGGGAAGAAAAUGACGGUACCUGACUAAGAAGCCCCGGCUAACUACGUGCCAGCAGCCGCGGUAAUACGUAGGGGGCAAGCGUUAUCCGGAUUUACUGGGUGUAAAGGGAGCGUAGACGGCAGUGCAAGUCUGAAGUGAAAGGCAAGGGCUCAGCCCUUGGACUGCUUUGGAAACUGUGCUGCUGGAGUGUCGGAGAGGCAA
rnacentral:rRNA from 1 species